GCGCUUGCUUCAGCAGCACGUAUACUAAAAUUGGAAGGAUACAGAGAUUAGCAUGUCCCCUGCACAAGGAUGAUGUGCAAAUAUGUGAAUCAUUCUAUAUUUUA